rnacentral:rRNA from 1 species
GGACCCGCACAAGUAGUGGAGCAUGUGGUUUAAUUCGAAGAUACGCGCAGAACCUUACCAACACUUGACAUGUUCGUCGCGACUCUAAGAGAUUAGAGUUUUCGGUUCGGCCGGACGAAACACAGGUGCUGCAUGGCUGUCGUCAGCUCGUGUCGUGAGAUGUUGGGUUAAGUCCCGCAACGAGCGCAACCCUCACUUUUAGUUGCCAUCAUUAAGUUGGGCACUCUGAAAGAACUGCCAGUGAUAAGCUGGAGGAAGGUGGGGAUGACGUCAAGUCCUCAUGGCCCUUACGUGUUGGGCUACACACGUGCUACAAUGGUAUCUACAACAGGAAGCAAAACGGCGACGUUAAGCAAAUCCUUAAAAGAUACCUCAGUUCGGAUUGCACUCUGCAACUCGAGUGCAUGAAGCUGGAAUUACUAGUAAUCGU